rnacentral:rRNA from 1 species
UGGGGGAUAUUGCACAAUGGGCGAAAGCCUGAUGCAGCGACGCCGCGUGGGGGAUGAAGGCCUUCGGGUUGUAAACUUCUUUUGCUCUGAACAAGGCAUGCUAAUGGGUGUGUUGAGUGUAGGGGUUGAUUAGCGCCGGCUAACUACGUGCCAGCAGCCGCGGUAAUACGUAGGGCGCGAGCGUUGUCCGGAAUUAUUGGGCGUAAAGGGCUUGUAGGUGGCUGGUUGCGUCUGUCGUGAAAGCUCAUGGCUUAACUGUGGGUUUGCGGUGGGUACGGGCUGGCUUGAGUGCAGUAGGGGGGGCUGGAAUUCCUGGUGUAGCGGUGGAAUGCGCAGAUAUCAGGAGGAAUACCGGUGGCGAAGGCGGGUCUCUGGGCUGUUACUGACACUGAGGAGCGAAAGAAUGGGGAGCGAACAGG